rnacentral:rRNA from 1 species
UACGGGGGGGGUAAGCGUUGUUCGGAAUUACUGGGCGUAAAGGGCUCGUAGGCGGCCAACGAAGUCAGACGUGAAAUCCCUCAGCUUAACUGGGGAACUGCGUCUGAUACUGGAUGGCUUGGAUUCGGGAGAGGAAUGCGGAAUUCCAGGUGUAGCGGUGAAAUGCGUAGAUAUCUGGAGGAACACCGGUGGCGAAGGCGGCAUUCUGGACCGACAUUGACGCUGAGGAGCGAAAGCCAGGGGAGCAAACGGG